rnacentral:rRNA from 1 species
UAAUGUUUGAUGUUCUAACGUUGACCCGUAAUCCGGGUUGCGGACAGUGUCUGGUGGGUAGUUUGACUGGGGCGGUCUCCUCCUAAAGAGUAACGGAGGAGCACGAAGGUUGGCUAAUCCUGGUCGGACAUCAGGAGGUUAGUGCAAUGGCAUAAGCCAGCUUGACUGCGAGCGUGACGGCGCGAGCAGGUGCGAAAGCAGGUCAUAGUGAUCCGGUGGUUCUGAAUGGAAGGGCCAUCGCUCAACGGAUAAAAGGUACUCCGGGGAUAACAGGCUGAUACCGCCCAAGAGUUCAUAUCGACGGCGGUGUUUGGCACCUCGAUGUCGGCUCAUCACAUCCUGGGGCUGAAGUAGGUCCCAAGGGUAUGGCUGUUCGCCAUUUAAAGUGGUACGCGAGCUGGGUUUAGAACGUCGUGAGACAGUUCGGUCCCUAUCUGCC